GGCACUGUAACUUUCUUUAACUUUCUUAUCAUGUCAAUUAUAUGCGUUUAUUCUACAUCACACGCAUUUUUUCCAAAUUUUUGUGCUUUCAUUAAUUAUUAUUUGUACGUUAUAUUCUAAUAAAUGAUAUUUCAGAAACAUAUUUGAUACCUGCCGGAACAUUGGUGAUUCUUAAUUUCUACAUAACCCACAGAGAUUCUAAUUUUUGGCCAAAUCCAGAAAUAUUUGACCCGGAUAGAUUUUACCUGAAAAUAUUCGAAAUCGUCAUCCUUACUCGUAUUUGCCAUUCAGUGCUGGACCACGUAAUUGCAUCGGUCAACGAUUUGCUUUAUUGGAGUUAAAGGCGAUGAUAGCUCCUCUCAUUCAUAAUUUCUAUUACCUACCAAUAACUACCAAUAAUUGGAUAACCUGGUGGUCCUGAUAUUUUAUUGAUUAAUCAUUUGGUCCAUAUUGCGCAUAACAACGACACAUCAAAUAUACAACAAUAAUAAUUAAUAAUAAUGCAAUAAACAUCUUUGUCGUAAUAAUGACAGUUUUAA
rnacentral:lncRNA from 13 species